rnacentral:rRNA from 1 species
UUGUACCUACGGGGGGCAGCAGUGGGGAAUAUUGCACAAUGGGGGAACCCCUGAUGCAGCGACGCCGCGUGAGUGAAGAAGUAGCUCGGUAUGUAAAGCUCUAUCAGCAGGAAAGAUAAUGACGGUACCUGACUAAGAAGCCCCGGCUAACUACGUGCCAGCAGCCGCGGUAAUACGUAGGUGGCAAGCGUUAUCCGGAUUUACUGGGUGUAAAGGGCGUGUAGGCGGGGACGCAAGUCAGAUGUGAAAACCACGGGCUCAACCUGUGGCCUGCAUUUGAAACUGUGUUUCUU